GAUGAACGCUGGCGGCGUGCCUAAUACAUGCAAGUCGAGCGAACGGACGAGAAGCUUGCUUCUCUGAUGUUAGCGGCGGACGGGUGAGUAACACGUGGAUAACCUACCUAUAAGACUGGGAUAACUUCGGGAAACCGGAGCUAAUACCGGAUAAUAUUUUGAACCGCAUGGUUCAAAAGUGAAAGACGGUCUUGCUGUCACUUAUAGAUGGAUCCGCGCUGCAUUAGCUAGUUGGUAAGGUAACGGCUUACCAAGGCAACGAUGCAUAGCCGACCUGAGAGGGGGAUCGGCCACAAUGAAACGGGGACACGGACCAGACUCCUGCGGGGGGCAGCAGUGGGGAAUCUUCCGCAAGGGGCGAAGGCCUGACGGAGCAACGCCGCGUGAGGGAUGAAGGUCUUGGGAUCGAAAAACGCUUUUUUUAGGAAAAAACAUAUGUGUAAGAAACUGUGCAAAUUUGGAGGGUACCAAAUAAGAAAGCCACGGCUAACUACG
rnacentral:rRNA from 1 species